rnacentral:rRNA from 1 species
UCAAUUGGRGGGCAAKUYKGGGGCCAGCAGCCGCGGUAAUUCCAGCUCCAAUAGGGUAUAUUAAAGUUGUUGCAGUUAAAAAGCCUUGUAGUUGGAUUUUUGUUAAUACCUUAUAUAUAAUAUUUUUUUUUUAAAUAUUAAUAUGUAAGAUUAACAAAUUCAUAUUUUUAAGACUGAAUUUUUAGUUUUGAUAAUAUGAAAUUUUACUUUGAGAAAAUUAGAGUGCUUAAAGCAGGCUUUUGCCUUGAAUACUCCAGCAUGGAAUAAUAAUAAAAGAUUUUUAUCUUUUUUUUAUUGGUUCUAAGAUAAAAAUAAUGAUUAAUAGGGACAGUUGGGGGCAUUUGUAUUUAACAGUCAGAGGUGAUAUUCUUAGAUUUGUUAAAGACAAACUAAUGCGAAAGCAUUUGCCAAGGAUGUUUUCAUUAAUCAAGAACGAAAGUUAGGGGAUCGAAGACGAUCAGAUACCGU